rnacentral:rRNA from 1 species
CCUACGGGAGGCAGCAGUGGGGAAUAUUGGACAAUGGGCGCAAGCCUGAUCCAGCAAUGCCGCGUGAGUGAUGAAGGCCUUAGGGUCGUAAAGCUCUUUUACCAGGGAUGAUAAUGACAGUACCUGGAGAAUAAGCUCCGGCUAACUCCGUGCCAGCAGCCGCGGUAAUACGGAGGGAGCUAGCGUUGUUCGGAAUUACUGGGCGUAAAGCGUACGUAGGCGGUUAUUCAAGUCAGAGGUGAAAGCCCGGGGCUCAACCCCGGAACGGCCUUUGAAACUAGGUAGCUAGAAUCUUGGAGAGGCCAGUGGAAUUCCGAGUGUAGAGGUGAAAUUCGUAGAUAUUCGGAAGAACACCAGUGGCGAAGGCGACUGACUGGACAAGUAUUGACGCUGAGGUACGAAAGCGUGGGGAGCAAACAGGAUUAGAUACCCUGGUAGUCCACGCCGUAAACGAUGAUAACUAGCUGUUCGGGCACUUGGUGCUUGAGUGGCGCAGCUAACGCAUUAAGUUAUCCGCCUGGGGAGUACGGUCGCAAGAUUAAAACUCAAAUGAAUUGACGG